rnacentral:rRNA from 1 species
AUGCAGUCGAACGGACCUUUUCAAGGGGUAACCCGAGAAUUGGUUAGUGGCGAACUGGUGAGGAAUACUUGGAUAACGUACCCCGAACUCAGGGAUAGCGGCGGGCUUUUAGCCCUUUGCGAAAGUGCCGGUAAUACCUGAUGACCCCGCGUGAUCGCAUGAACGUGCGGGCAAAGCCCCGACGGUUCGGGAUCGGUUCAAGUCCUAUCAGCUUGUUGGUGGGGUAACGGCCUACCAAGGCAUCGACGGGUACCGGGCGUGAGAGCGUGACCCGGCACAUCGGAACUGAGACACUGUCCGGACACCUACGGGUGGCUGCAGCAACGAAUAUUCCGCAAUGGACGCAAGUCUGACGGAGCGACGCCGCGUGCAGGAAGAAGUCCCUCGGGAUGUAAACUGCUGUCAGGGGUUAGGAACACCGACCAGCCCCACAGGAAGCACUGGCUAACUCCGUGCCAGCAGCCGCGGUAAUACGGAGAGUGCAAGCGUUGUUCGGAAUUACUGGGCUUAAAGAGCAUGUAGGCGGGACGUCAAGUGUCGGGUGAAAACCCCAGGCUCAACCUGGGAACUGCCCGGCAAACUGGCGUUCUUGAGGCAGGUAGAGGUGACCGGAACAACUGGUGGAGCGGUGAAAUGCGUAGAUAUCAGUUGGAACGCCGGCGGCGAAAGCGGGUCACUGGACCUGUCCUGACGCUGAGAUGCGAAAGCGUGGGUAGCGAACGGGAUUAGAUACCCCGGUAGUCCACGCCGUAAACGAUGCGCACUAUGUAUGGGAGG